UACGAAGGGGGCUAGCGUUGCUCGGAAUCACUGGGCGUAAAGCGCACGUAGGCGGAUUGUUAAGUCAGGGGUGAAAUCCUGGAGCUCAACUCCAGAACUGCCUUUGAUACUGGCGAUCUCGAGUCCGGGAGAGGUGAGUGGAACUGCGAGUGUAGAGGUGAAAUUCGUAGAUAUUCGCAAGAACACCAGUGGCGAAGGCGGCUCACUGGACCGGUACUGACGCUGAGACGCGAAAGCCAAGGGAGCAAACGGG
rnacentral:rRNA from 1 species